CCCACUCCAGCCCCGCGGUAGCCACCCCAGCCUCGCCGCGGGUGUCCACGGCCGCCCUCUCUCCUCGAGGUCUGCUCCGCGAUCCCUCCCUCGCCCAUCCCCGGCUCCACUCCCUUUCCCCUCAGCUGUGUCCCCCUUCCUCCCGCCCCUUUCCCAACCUCCCGGUCACUUGCUGGUGCCCUUGGGUCCGCGGAGUGUAGAAGGAGCGAUUCUCGGGUCCCCGGGCUCCCGGCUUUGGCCGCCAGGGAGCAGCAAGUGCCUGGGAUUGGUGGACGGCGGACUGAACCGCGCAAUGGCGUGGAGAGGAAAUAAGCUGGGAAGCAGGAUAUUGGAUACAUUUGGAAGAACCACUAGGGCGGAAAACUCAGAGUGGGGCAGAGAUUAGUUAUGGCCCUUGUGCUGCUGGUUCUGAGGAGCCAGACUUGCAUUUGAGGAUCUGGUGGCAAGAAGCCAGGCCUUGGGGACUUCAGAGAACUGAAAAUCCAGGGCUGGAAGUUCCCGGGAGCACACCACCUGGCUGAGCCAGCUGUCCUGUUGCAGAGGGCGGCAUCCACCUUGGAACCUCGUACUCAU